CAAGACCUGCAGGACUCUAUCCAACAUAUUCUGAAUGCAACCCAGACACUUUAAUUAAGCUAAGACCUU
rnacentral:tRNA from 1 species